UCACUUUAUCAGUGCAUAUACUAAAAUUUGAAUGCAUGAUACAGAGAAGAUUAGCAUGGCCCCUGCCCAAGGAUGACAUGUACAUUUAUGAAGCACUCCACAGUUUU
rnacentral:snRNA from 1 species